AGUGAACGCUGGCGGUAGGCCUAACACAUGCAAGUCGAACGGCAGCACAGUAAGAGCUUGCUCUUACGGGUGGCGAGUGGCGGACGGGUGAGGAAUACAUCGGAAUCUACUUUUUCGUGGGGGAUAACGUAGGGAAACUUACGCUAAUACCGCAUACGACCUACGGGUGAAAGCAGGGGAUCUUCGGACCGUGCGCGAUUGAAUUAGCCGAUGUCGGAUUAGUUAGUUGGCGGGGUAAAGGCCCACCAAGGCGACGAUCCGUAGCUGGUCUGAGAGGAUGAUCAGCCACACUGGAACUGAGACACGGUCCAGACUCCUACGGGAGGCAGCAGUGGGGAAUAUUGGACAAUGGGCGCAAGCCUGAUCCAGCCAUACCGCGUGGGUGAAGAAGGCCUUCGGGUUGUAAAGCCCUUUUGUUGGGAAAGAAAAGCAGCAGGUUAAUACCCCGCUGUUCUGACGGUACCCAAAGAAUAAGCACCGGCUAACUUCGUG
rnacentral:rRNA from 1 species